GCCGAGGGGCUGGGCGCCCAGGCGCAGCAACCACAGGGCACCUGUGGACACCUCCCCAGGUAUCUGCUGCUGGGCCUAGGCGGGGGGCCCGGGUGAGUGUGCUCCUGGGACUAGAGUGUCUGCCUGGGUGGGCACCCAGGUCUGUGCAAGGCUCAAGGGAGUAGCUGGCCACACACAGGUGUUGCGCUCCAUCCACCGUGGAGACCCCGGGCUGCCUAUGGGGGUUCUCAGGCGGCCAAUGGGCGCUGGGUGCGGUGGCAUGCCUGCUCCUCCUCCUGUUUUCUUCGAAUUCGUUCUUCGAGGUCAGCUCCACGCCCAAGGAUGAUGCAAACCGCAGCCUCAGCCUUCCUGGGAUUUCAACACCUUCCUGGAAAUUAAACUGAAAAAGAAAAAAAACAAGGCUUUUCUUCUGCUUCCUUUAAAGAAUUCACUUCAGAAUGAAUUCCACAGAAGCGACACCUGAGAGCCUCAGAGAAGGGGAACAGUCUUCACUCGAGGGGACAAUCCCACAUUUUGCAGAAACAGAUGGAUCACGGUGCCUUUGCAGUCCUCGUUCAACCUAUAUCUAAGUAACUCGCUAUGUGUGUCAGACUCCAGUCUAGGCGCGGGAAUCAAUGGGCAAGAAAGACAAGGCUUACAGGGCAGAGCUUGGAUUGCUGGGAAGAUGGCCGUGUAGGAGGACUCUGAACUCACCUCCUCCCAAGGACACAACAAAUUUACAACUCCUCUUGGAAUAAUGACCCCUGAGAGAGAACUGAAAGCUGGGUAAAAAGAACCCCACAACCUCUCAACAGUGCUGACUGAGGUGGAAGAGGCAGAAAUUCCUUUCUGCAGAAGAAAAAGCCACAUUCUAGUCGUGGUGCUUCCUGGCCAGGAGCAAUCUGAAGGGACUCCUGUGAGGGACAGCCAGAACUGACGUGGUCCAAAAGAAAGCAGGCAGCAGCCUGGAAGAAAGGCGCUUUAGGGUCCUCCUUGAGGGUGUUUUGCAACAGGCCAGCCAUACUCAAGGUGGCAAGGGAGGCUGGCAGUCUCUGCCCAUGUUCAGAACCUUCUGGGCUAUUCCAGAAGCAGCAAGGAAUGAAGAAAAAGCCCGGACUCAGAGCCAGGCAGCCCUGGAUGUGACCUUGGAUAAAUCACUUCAGCUCUUGAAGCCCUGGUUCCUCAUCUGGAAAAUGGCGAUGGUUGACGUACCACUCUCUUGGUGAAAAGUGAGGGA